AACGAACGCUGGCGGCGUGCCUAACACAUGCAAGUCGUGCGAGAAAGUUCCUUCGGGAGCGAGUAAAGCGGCGCACGGGUGAGUAACACGUAGGUAACCUGCCCCCCAGUCUGGAAUAACUAGAGGAAACUCUAGCUAAUGCCGGAUGAGACCACAAUCCCUUCGGGGGUUGCGGCCAAAGAUGGCCUCUACUUGUAAGCUAUCGCUGAGGGAUGGGCCUGCGGGCCAUUAGCUUGUUGGUGAGGUAACGGCUCACCAAGGCUGUGAUGGCUAGCUGGUCUGAGAGGAUGACCAGCCACACUGGGACUGAGACACGGCCCAGACUCCUACGGGAGGCAGCAGUGGGGAAUAUUGCGCAAUGGGCGAAAGCCUGACGCAGCGACGCCGC
rnacentral:rRNA from 1 species